rnacentral:rRNA from 1 species
UACGUAGGGUGCAAGCGUUAAUCGGAAUUACUGGGCGUAAAGCGUGCGCAGGCGGUUUUGUAAGUCAGAUGUGAAAUCCCCGGGCUUAACCUGGGAACUGCGUUUGAAACUACAAGGCUAGAGUGUGGCAGAGGGGGGUGGAAUUCCACGUGUAGCAGUGGAAUGCGUAGAGAUGUGGAGGAACACCGAUGGCGAAGGCAGCCCCCUGGGUUAACACUGACGCUCAGGCACGAAAGCGUGGGGAGCAAACAGG